rnacentral:misc_RNA from 1 species
UUUAUUACGAAAAGUUUGACUCUGACAGAACACAGCUUGGAAAUCUCUACAGGGAUCAAUCUAUGUUAACAUUCGAAUCAUCUCAGUUGCAGGGUGCUCG